CAAUUUUGUUAGCGAUUUGGUAAAGCUUUGCUCGUAUUUGCUGACUUAUUUGAAAUACUUUCACGAAAUGCCGCCUGAUAAAGGUCAGUGGAAGAGAUAUUCUCAAGAAGACUUAGAAAAGGCCAUAGAAGAUGUGUUAAGGGGUUCGUCCAUCGCCUCGGCAGCAAAGAAAUUACAUAAAUGUAAAUUACAUAUUUUAUUACAUAAAUGUAACACGUAAAAAGUAAAUGUUAUCAACAGAA